rnacentral:rRNA from 1 species
UGACCUCGAUCAGUAGGGAUACC